UACGUAGGGUGCAAGCGUUGUCCGGAAUUAUUGGGCGUAAAGAGCUCGUAGGCGGUUUGUCGCGUCUGCUGUGAAAACGCGAGGCUCAACCUCGCGCCUGCAGUGGGUACGGGCAGACUAGAGUGCGGUAGGGGAGAUUGGAAUUCCUGGUGUAGCGGUGGAAUGCGCAGAUAUCAGGAGGAACACCGAUGGCGAAGGCAGAUCUCUGGGCCGUAACUGACGCUGAGGCUCGAAAGCGUGGGGAGCGAACAGG
rnacentral:rRNA from 1 species